UACGUAGGCGGAAAAUUAAGUCAGUAGUGAAAUCCUGCAGCUUAACUGUAGAACUGUUAUUGAUACUGGUUUUCUUGAAUAUAGUUGAGGUAGGCGGAAUGUGUAAUGUAGCGGUGAAGUGCUUAGAUAUUACACAGAACACCGAUUGCGAAGGCAGCUUACUAAGCUAUGAUUGACGCUGAGGUACGAAAGCGUGGGGAGCGAACAGGAUUAGAUACCCUGGUAGUCC
rnacentral:rRNA from 1 species